AAACCGUUUGUAAACCCUUUAUCUGUUGCUUACGUUCUGACUGAUCUACCUCUUAACUUUUAGAUAUCUGUGUUUGUGGGGGGAAAAAAUACUUCAUCUUUAUGCUAAAACUGGCCAGGUUCCUGUUCCAUGCCUGUUGGUGUGCCAACUGAGCUGACGUCGAGCUAAUCCUACUCCAAACCAGGAGAUCUGUUGAAUCCUGACAACUCCUUCCAGUGCGUUCUGCUCUGGCGGGCCUUUCCUUUCUGUCUAAAGCUUCUCGACACAGUUCCGGAUUUGCCAAAUCCUCAGACGACGAAACGAACCCUGUCGCUUCAUUGUGUGAGCAUCGAACGCCCUUCCACCCACCUUCUCCCCCUCAUCCAUCCUCCCGCUGGUCGUCUUCUCUCUCUCCUUUGCUACAGAGAUGGGGGGCGACAGGCAGGAAGUUGGUUUUCAGUUUGAGGCUUUAAGCAUCGGGGAUUGGUUUCAAUUUAAUGCCCCAAUGUGAAGAAGAAAGAAUCAAUUUAAAGUAGCUGAGUCCCCUGGGUCUCCUGGUUGAGCGAACAGUAGAAAUGACAAAGACAGACAGAAUAGAGAGAUACAAAUCACAGACAAAGAAACUGAGAAAUUAUUAUAGCAAAACC